rnacentral:lncRNA from 1 species
CCUACACCCGUCACCGUGGUACCUGAGCCCCAGCGAGGCUGUGUGCACACUUCCAGGCUCCCGCGUUUGCUGGACUGCCCCCUUCUCUGCGCACACCCAGGCAGCAGCUCUAUCCGCCGGCCUUUGGCAAGCGCUUCCGUUUCUGGUUUCACCCCAGCUCCCUCCUCUUUGCAUUUGCAGGUUUGCAGGAGCCCGGCUUGGUGCCGCAGCGCGACCACAUCAAGCAGCAGGCCCUGCUCCGGGCUCGUCAGAUCACCAGGCAGCAGCAGCAGGCAGACGGCACAGCCUCCCCCAACGCCUCCCAGGCCACCAGCCCCAGACCUGCCGACCGAGCCCCCAGCACAGUCCA